AUUCCGUGAUGAGGGCACUUUCGUAAUAAUUCUUUGUACCUUUCUUAUGCCUCAUACAAUGGCUCAUCAUCCAUUUGUUGGAAAGCAGUGAUCUCAUUCUUCAACUU
rfam:Gossypium raimondii Chr10_contig_1053, whole genome shotgun sequence.